rnacentral:rRNA from 1 species
UACCAGCUCUCCGAGUGGUGUGGAUGUUUAUUGGGCCUAAAGCAUCCGUAGCUGGCUGGGCAAGUCCCCUGUUAAAUCCACGAUUUAAUCGUUGGUGUGCGGGAGAUACUGUUCGGCUAGGGGACGGGAGAGGCCGACGGUAUUUUCGGGGUAGGGGUGAAAUCCUAUAAUCCCGGGAAGACCACCAGUGGCGAAGGCUGUCGGCUAGAACGCGCCCGACGGUGAGGGAUGAAAGCUGGGGGAGCGAACCGGAUUAGAUACCCGGGUAGUCCCAGCUGUAAACGAUGCAGGCUAGGUGUUUGGGCGGCCACGUGCCGCUCUAGUGCCGCAGAGAAGUCGUUAAGCCUGCCGCCUGGGGAGUACGGCCGCAAGGCUGAAACUUAAAGGAAUUGGCGGGGGAGCACUACAAGGGGUGAAGCUUGCGGUUU